AGUGAACGCUGGCGGUAGGCCUAACACAUGCAAGUCGACCGGCAGCACAGUAAGGGCUUGCUCUUACGGGUGGCGAGUGGCGGACGGGUGGGGAAUACAUCGGAAUCUACUUUUUCGUGGGGGAUAACGUAGGGAAACUUACGCUAAUACCGCAUACGACCUACGGGUGAAAGCAGGGGAUCUUCGGACCUUGCGCGAUUGAAUGAGCCGAUGUCGGUUUAGCUAGUUGGCGGGGUAAAGGCCCACCAAGGCGACGAUCCGUAGCUGGUCUGAGAGGAUGAUCAGCCACACUGGAACUGAGACACGGUCCAGACUCCUACGGGAGGCAGCAGUGGGGAAUAUUGGACAAUGGGCGCAAGCCUGAUCCAGCCAUACCGCGUGGGUGAAGAAGGCCUUCGGGUUGUAAAGCCCUUUUGUUGGGAAAGAAAAGCAGCAGGUUAAUACCCCGCUGUUCUGACGGUACCCAAAGAAUAAGCACCGGCUAACUUCGUA
rnacentral:rRNA from 1 species